rnacentral:rRNA from 1 species
UAGCUGAUCUGCUCUGGGUAAGUCGGGGCCUAAGGCGAGGACGAGAGUCGUAGCCGAUGGACAACAGGUGGAGAUUCCUGUACUGCGGUAUGACAGAACUGUGGGGACACGUAAGGAAAGCGGAAGCCGGGAAUGGAAAGCCCGGUGCAAGCGGGGUACCAGUCACUUUGGCAAAUCCGGGUGGCAAUGGGAAGCCGUGAUGCGGAGCGAAAUAAAGUAGCGAAGUCCGUGAGCCAUGCGUCAAGAAAAGCCGCUAUCGUUUAUACCGUACCCGUACCGUAAACCGACACAGGUGGAUGAGGAGAGAAUCCUAAGGCCGGCGGAAGAAGCAUUGUCAAGGAACUCGGCAAAAUGGCCCCGUAACUUAGGGAUAAGGGGUGCCUGGGAAACCAGGCCGCAGAGAAUAGGCUCAAGCAACUGUUUAGCAAAAACACAGGUCUAUGCGAAACCGAAAGGUGGGGUAUAUGGGCUGACGCCUGCCCGGUGCUGGAAGGUUAAGAGGAGAGGUUAGCGCAAGCGAAGUUUUGAAUUUAAGCCCCAGUAAACGGCGGCCGUAACUAUAACGGUCCUAAGGUAGCGAAAUUCCUUGUCGGGUAAGUUCCGACCCGCACGAAAGGCGUAAUGAUUUGAGCGCUGUCUCGACAAUGCAUCCGGUGAAAUUGAAGUACCAGUGAAGAUGCUGGUUACCUGCGCCAGGACGGAAAGACCCCAUGGAGCUUUACUCCAGUUUGGUACUGGGACUCGGUAUUGCAUGUACAGGAUAGGUGGGAGGCUAGGAGACAGUAACGCCAGUUAUUGUGGAGCCGCUGUUGGGAUACCACCCUUGCAGUAUUGGGUUUCUAACCAGCCGCCGUGACCCGGCGGUGGGACAAUGCCAGACGGGGAGUUUGACUGGGGCGGUCGCCUCCGAAAGGGUAUCGGAGGCGCCCAAAGGUUCCCUCAGAAUGGACGGAAACCAUUCGAAGAGUGCAAAGGCAGAAGGGAGCUUGACUGCGACACCGACGGGUGGAGCAGGUACGAAAGUAGGGCUUAGUGAUCCGGUGGUAUUAAGUGGGAAUGCCAUCGCUCAACGGAUAAAAGCUACCCUGGGAUAACAGGCUUAUCACUCCCAAGAGUUCACAUCGACGGAGUGGUUUGGCACCUGAUGUCGGCUCAUCGCAUCCUGGGGCUGUAGUAGGUCCCAAGGGUUGGGCUGUUCGCCCAUUAAAGCGGUACGCGAGCUGGGUUCAGAACGUCGUGAGACAGUUCGGUCCCUAUCCGGCGUGGGCGUAGGAUAUCUGAGAGGAGCUGUCCUUAGUACGAGAGGACCGGGAUGGACGGGCCGCUGGUGCAUCGGUUAGACUGCCAAGUCUACGGCCGAGUAGCCAAGCCCGGAAGGGAUAAACGCUGAAGGCAUCUAAGCGUGAAGCCCCCCUUAAGAUGAGAUAUCCCAUUCGAAAGAAGUAAACCCCCUUGAAGACGACGAGGUAGAUAGGGCAGAGGUGGAAGUGUGGCAACACAUGGAGCUGACUGUUACUAAUCGGGUGAGGGCUUGACC